UAUUAAGUAUCUUAUAUUAAUAAAGAUUUAACCUUUUAAGUUAACUAAAAUAAAUUUUAUUCUUAAUAA
rnacentral:tRNA from 1 species